UAUGAUACAGAAGCCAUGAACAAAAAUAAUGACUCGUGUUCAGGCCUCAUACAGGUUGCCUAGCAAGCUGCUGAUGGUUGGUGAAGGGACUCUGGAAAUGAGGCUUUGGUCCAACUGCUAAAGCGCUUGUAGAAAAGGCGUCUCCGCCACUGCCAAUCCUCUCACAAGAGGGGCACAUAGUGAGGGUGGCUGCAUGUAGCUCCAUAUGUAGUGGUGAAGCCAGUUUCAACGAUUUAAGCUCUUGUA
rnacentral:misc_RNA from 1 species